GGCCGGUUGGCGCAAUGGUAGCGCGUGGCCCUCCUAUACAUCUACUGUGAAAUUGGCAGGCCAAGGUUGUGGGUUCGAGUCCCAUAUCGGUCG